rnacentral:rRNA from 1 species
UACGAAGGGGGCUAGCGUUGUUCGGAAUUACUGGGCGUAAAGCGCACGUAGGCGGACUAUUAAGUCAGGGGUGAAAUCCCGGGGCUCAACCCCGGAACUGCCUUUGAUACUGGUAGUCUCGAGUCCGGAAGAGGUGAGUGGAAUUCCGAGUGUAGAGGUGAAAUUCGUAGAUAUUCGGAGGAACACCAGUGGCGAAGGCGGCUCACUGGUCCGGUACUGACGCUGAGGCGCGAAAGCGUGGGGAGCGAACAGG